CACGUAGGGCGCAAGCGUUGUCCGGAAUUAUUGGGCGUAAAGGGCGCGUAGGCGGCCUGAUAAGUAGGGGGUGAAAUCCUGCGGCUUAACCGCAGGGCUGCCUUCUAAACUGUCAGGCUCGAGCACAGUAGAGGCAGGUGGAAUUCCCGGUGUAGCGGUGGAAUGCGUAGAGAUCGGGAAGAACAUCAGUGGCGAAGGCGGCCUGCUGGGCUGUUGCUGACGCUGAGGCGCGACAGCGUGGGGAGCAAACAGG
rnacentral:rRNA from 1 species